GAUGGGAGUCUGACUCCCUGUAUUUAAUGUAGAGUGUGUGUGUGUGUAUAUAUAGUGCACACACUGCAUUAUAUACAGGGAGUCAGACUCCCAUC